GCUCCUCUCUCUCCCCAAACUUCCCCUCCUUUCUUUGUCUUCUCAUCACUCGUUCUUUACAUCCAUCUUGUUUUAAAAAAAGAUGGAUGUAGAUUUGGUUUC